rnacentral:rRNA from 1 species
GACGAACCGUGCGAACGUUGUUCGGAAUCACUGGGCUUAAAGGGCGCGUAGGCGGGCCCGCAAGUCAGGGGUGAAAUCCCACGGCUCAACCGUGGAAGUGCCUUUGAUACUGUGGGUCUUGAGGGAGGUAGGGGCGUGCGGAACUUCCGGUGGAGCGGUGAAAUGCGUAGAUAUCGGAAGGAACACCGGUGGCGAAAGCGGCGCGCUGGACCUCUUCUGACGCUGAGGCGCGAAAGCCAGGGGAGCAAACGGG